rnacentral:rRNA from 1 species
CAAAAACAUGGUCCAUUGUCUUUUAUAAUGGGUUGGGCCUGCACAGUGUUUUAAUAAACAGCCGCGGUAACUUGACUGUGCAAAGGUAGCAUAAUCAUUAGUUUUUUAAUUGGGGGCUGGAAUGAAGGGUUUGACGUAGAUUAGCUUUCUUAGUCCAUUUUCUUAAUUUUAGAUUACUGUGAGGACGCGGUAAUGAAGUUAUCUGACGAGAAGACCCCAUAAAGCUUAUUCGAGCGGGGGUUUGUUGGUCGCUUUUAUUUUAUUGGGGCAAUAUAUCUGUAUAGAGGAAUUAUUUAGUGUAUUUGUAUGCUUUUUUAGUCUUUAUUUUUGAUCCAUAUGUUUUGAUAAAAAGGAAGAGUUACUUUGGGGAUAACAGCGUAAUUGUGUUGGAGAGUUCUUAUUGAUGGCACAGUUUGCGACCUCGAUGUUGAAUUAAGAUACCAUUUUGCUGUAGUUGGCUUUAACGGGGGUCUGUUCGACCUUUAAAUUCUUACAUGAUCUGAGUUC